AACUCAAUUUUAUUAACAACCCAAUACAACAUAUAUAUGAAGAAAAAAUUACAUGAAUAAUAUCAUCAAGGCUAGAAAGAUGAAGCUUCACAUCAUCUCAACAUAAAUCAUCAAACCCUCUUCUCCAACCCCUUCACACCUCAAAACAUACAAUCUUUCCUUAAUUGAUCAAACAAUGAACAUUAGUAACUUUAUACCUUUGCUUUUAUUCUACCCAAACACCGAAAAUCGCAGUUUCCAUGAUAAAACACUUGAUAUGAAGAACUCAUUAUCUCAAAUAUUAACAAAAUGCUAUCCUUUUGCCGGCAGGUAUGCCAAAGCUUCACCAGCCCUUGUAGACUGCAAUGAUGACGUUGUUGAGUUUCUUGUAGGAUCUGUUGAUACUACACUAUCCGAUUUUCUGCAAAAUUCACAACAUGAAGAUCUCGAUCAAUUUUUUCCAUAUCGUCAAGUAUGGUUUAGCCUGAGAUCGUAAAAGUGAAAGCGACCAAGUCAUGAUCCCACUCGCGAUUCAGAUUAACCAUUUUGAAUGUGGAGGAGUGACGGUGGCCGUAUCACUAUCACACAAGGUAGCGGAUGCAAUUAGUUGUUCUCAUUUGCCGGUGAUUGGGCAAAAAUGAGACAACUCUACUAACAAAAGUUGGAACAUGCCGAACCCCUCCUCGGACCCCAAGUUUAUUUCUUUCCAAUAUGACAACAUAAAUUCCAAUUCCUUUACUCCUGAUGGAACAAAAGAGUGUCACAAGGAGUUUCACAUUCUGAAACUCGAAGAUAGACGAGCUUAUUAAACUCAGACAAAACCAUGAUCACGAACGCCACUCAUGUUGAUGUUUUGACAUGGUUUCUUUCCAAGUGUGUAGUGGAAGCUGCUAACAAAAACUGAAGAAGAAAGUACCAGAAGUAGUCUCUCCAACUUGCAUUGAUAUAUUGCACAUUACCUUGCAGAAACAGUACACUACAAAUUCAUUAGCAUUUAGUUAGUUAAUAAGAUCCCUAUAACACACCAACCGAAACAUUCAACAUUUUAGAAAGCAACACUCAAGCCUAACUAAUAAACUUCAUCAACAACCAACCAAA